rnacentral:lncRNA from 10 species
AUGAACAGGACUUAUCAUCCUUUAUUCUACAGCUUUGCUUUUUACCAGAUUUGCAUAGUGUCAAGAUUAUUUUCCUCUAAUUGGAUGCACUAUCAAAUCCCGGACUUUGACUGGAUGGAGGGGAAGUGUACUGAAAGCCCUGGAGGAGUUUAUUGCCUUAUACAUUGUCUCCAGUUGUGGGAUUAUUGCUCAGAGCACUGACCUGUUUGAAGAUGAGAGUUGUGGCUCUUCAGAACCACAGGUGGGUACUUUUCUUAACAACAAAAGGAGAUUCAUAACAUGAAAAGUGAAUGAAAGUCUAUGCAAAGAUAUUAACUUGGUUUUAUUACUAGCCUUAGAGAAAAUGAUUUUUAUUGAAAUACUAAGUAUGAGAUGUAAUAAGAAAACACAUUUAAAUACAAG